CACACAUUAGCAUAGUGGAAUGACUAACGUGGCUGCAGGUUCCCGCUGCCGAGGCAGAGGCUGGCGAGCCGCCAGGGGGACGGCGCGCGCUGGCAGACGGCGCCACAUCAAUAUCCCAACUAGCCACCAGAGCCCGACUCAAACGGUCGGGGACUUUAAAGGUAGCAGCUGAGGCCCGAGAGGUGCCGCUCGCUCCCCGAGGAGCCGGCUGGCUCGCGGUCAGAGGCCCUUUGAGCUGCCAAGUCAACUGAGGCCGCCCCCCCCCCCCCCCCCCCCCCCCCCCCCCCCCCACUGUGCGCUCCUGCACCGGGGCUGCCGGGAUGCUGGCGCGGGCCCAUUGAUUUACUGCCGUUGGCUAGGACACUCUCCAAGGAGCUCCCAUCCUGGCUGGAAUAGCGUUUAUUUGGGACACAUUUGGCAACGCCGGCAUCUUGGCCCUCUUUGAAAUGCGUCGUCCAGAGACGAAAUAAAUGAACGGUAUCAAAGAUGUGUCA
rnacentral:lncRNA from 1 species